rnacentral:rRNA from 1 species
UACGAACGCUGGCGGCGUGCUUAACACAUGCAAGUCGAACGGAAAGGCCCUGCUUUUGUGGGGUGCUCGAGUGGCGAACGGGUGAGUAACACGUGAGUAACCUGCCCUUGACUUUGGGAUAACUUCAGGAAACUGGGGCUAAUACCGGAUAGGAGCUCCUGCUGCAUGGUGGGGGUUGGAAAGUUUCGGCGGUUGGGGAUGGACUCGCGGCUUAUCAGCUUGUUGGUGGGGUAGUGGCUUACCAAGGCUUUGACGGGUAGCCGGCCUGCGAGGGUGACCGGCCACAUUGGGACUGAGAUACGGCCCAGACUCCUACGGGAGGCAGCAGUGGGGAAUAUUGCACAAUGGGCGGAAGCCUGAUGCAGCAACGCCGCGUGCGGGAUGACGGCCUUCGGGUUGUAAACCGCUUUCGCCUGUGACGAAGCGUGAGUGACGGUAAUGGGUAAAGAAGCACCGGCUAACUACGUG